rnacentral:rRNA from 1 species
AACGAACGCUGGCGGCAUGCCUAACACAUGCAAGUCGAACGAGACCUUCGGGUCUAGUGGCGCACGGGUGCGUAACGCGUGGGAACCUGCCCUUAGGUUCGGAAUAACUCCCCGAAAGGGGUGCUAAUACCGGAUAAUGUCUUCGGACCAAAGAUUUAUCGCCUUUGGAUGGGCCCGCGUUGGAUUAGCUAGUUGGUAGGGUAAAAGCCUACCAAGGCGACGAUCCAUAGCUGGUCUGAGAGGAUGAUCAGCCACACUGGGACUGAGACACGGCCCGGACUCUUACGGGAGGCGGCAGUGCGUAAUAUUGGAAAGCGGGCGAAAGCAUGAUCGAGCUCUGCCGGGUGAGUGCUGAAGGCCUUGGGGUUGUAAAGUUUUUUUACCCGGGAUGAUAUUGACGGUACCGGGAGAAUAAGCUCCGGCUAACUCCGUG